rnacentral:rRNA from 1 species
AACGAACGCUGGCGGCAUGCCUAACACAUGCAAGUCGAACGAGACCUUCGGGUCUAGUGGCGCACGGGUGCGUAACGCGUGGGAACCUGCCCUUAGGUUCGGAAUAACUCCCCGAAAGGGGUGCUAAUACCGGAUAAUGUCUUCGGACCAAAGAUUUAUCGCCUUUGGAUGGGCCCGCGUUGGAUUAGCUAGUUGGUAGGGUAAAAGCCUACCAAGGCGACGAUCCAUAGCUGGUCUGAGAGGAUGAUCAGCCACACUGGGACUGAGACACGGCCCAGACUACUACGGGAGGCAGCAGUGGGGAAUAUAGGAAAAUGGGCGAAAGCCUGAUCCAGCAAUGCCGCGUGAGUGAUGAAGGCCUUAGGGUUGUAAAGCUCUUUUACCCGGGAUGAUAAUGACAGUACCGGGAGAAUAAGCUCCGGCUAACUCCGUG